AUUGAACGCUGGCGGAAUGCUUUACACAUGCAAGUCGAACGGUAGAGGGGGUAACUCCUCGAGAGUGGCGAACGGGUGAGUAAUAUAUCGGAACGUGCCCAGUCGUGGGGGAUAACGUAGCGAAAGUUACGCUAAUACCGCAUACGAUCUAAGGAUGAAAGCGGGGGAUCGCAAGACCUCGCGCGAUUGGAGACGCCGCUAUCGGAUUAGGUAGGGGGUGGGGUAAAGGCUCACCAAGCCAACGAUCUGUAGCUGGUCUGAGAGAACGACCAGCCACACUGGAACUGAGACACGGUCCAGACUCCUACGGGAGGCAGCAGUGGGGAAUUUUGGACAAUGGACGCAAGUCUGAUCCAGCCAUUCCGCGUGCAGGAUGAAGGCCCUCGGGUUGUAGACUGCUUUUGUACGGAACGAAAAGGUCUCUCUUAAUACGAGGGGCUCAUGACGGUACCGUAAGAAUAAGCACCGGCUAACUACGUGCCAGCCGCCGCCGUAA
rnacentral:rRNA from 1 species